AUUGAACGCUGGCGGCAGGCCUAACACAUGCAAGUCGAACGGAGUGGCGGACGGGUGAGUAAUGUAUAGGAAUGUGCCCAGUAGCGGGGGAUAACUACCGGAAAUGGCAGCUAAUACCGCAUACUAUUAGAGCCGCCUAUGUCGGAUUAGCUAGUGGGGGGGGUAACGGCUCACCAAGGCGACUAUCCGUAGCUGGUCUGAGAGGAUGACCAGCCACACUGGAACUGAGACACGGUCCAGACUCCUACGGGAGGCAGCAGUGGGGAAGAUUGGACAAUGGGCGAAAGCCUGAUCCAGCCAUGCCGCGUGUGUGAAGAAGGGCUGCGGGUUGUAAAGCACUUUGGGUUGGGAGGCGUUACCAGCAGAAUAAGCACCGGCUAACUUCGUGCCAGCAGCCGCGGUAAUUC
rnacentral:rRNA from 1 species